rnacentral:rRNA from 1 species
UAGGGAAUCUUCCGCAAUGGGCGAAAGCCUGACGGAGCAACGCCGCGUGAGUGAUGAAGGUCUUCGGAUCGUAAAACUCUGUUAUUAGGGGAGAACAAAUGUGUAAGUAACUAUGCACGUCUUGACGGUACCUAAUCAGAAAGCCACGGCUAACUACGUGCCAGCAGCCGCGGUAAUACGUAGGUGGCAAGCGUUAUCCGGAAUUAUUGGGCGUAAAGCGCGCGUAGGCGGUUUUUUAAGUCUGAUGUGAAAGCCCACGGCUCAACCGUGGAGGGUCAUUGGAAACUGGAAGACUUGAGUGCAGAAGAGGAAAGUGGAAUUCAAUGUGUAGCGGUGAAAUGCGCAGAGAUAUGGAGGAACACCAGUGGCGAAGGCGACUUUCUGGUCUGUAACUGACGCUGAUGUGCGAAAGCGUGGGGAUCAAACAGG